ACACCCUUUGUAAGCCUAACGACCCUUAACGACCCACCUGCAGCUGCUGAAAGGGAACGAGAGACAGACCGCCCGAGGAAGUCAGCCUGAUCAAGGGCAGCUACCUCUGAUGUCAGGCUGCGCUUUUGUUUACCAGAGGGAGAGCAAGAGAAGAGAAGCAAGAGGUGUCUUCGGUGUAGACAAAGAGGAGAGAGCAGAACCAGAUACUCAGGACUGAAAACUUUCAGUGCUUAGAGACGUCUUAAACUAUACGUUGAACUGAUACCUGUGUGCCAUGGCCUUUGCUGAGUUUCCAUCACCAUAUGUAUGACCAAGAAAACCUGAAGAAACAAAAUGGCAACCUACAUUUGAACUGGCUUUCAUUAUGAUUCACACAUUUAUUCUCACACUGCCUGAUCUGAGUUAUUGUUUCAUUCAGAAAAAAAUAAGUUUCCUUUAUAAUAGGUGAAAUGAUGUCUUGGAAUGUUUGGCUACAGUAAAUGGAAUCCAGAAAAGAGGCCAACAGAAAAAGAAAAUUAAAAAGAUAAAAUCAAGUUUUUCCCAUAAA